UUUGCAUCUUUGGUACAUAAAUGAUCUAUUAUCUGAAAAAACUUCCUUUCAAGAUCUUGAUAUAUAUCUUCUAAAUAGCUUGCAAAGGCUUGCCAUUCUUCUAGUUCCAAAACCAUCUUCAUCAAUUGAGAACAAUCUGUUGCAAACGUAAUCUGAAACUGUCGUAAGUUUCUCAUACAUUCCAUUGCCCAUAGUGGCGCUUCUAUCUCCGCAUAAAGAGGGGAGAGACUAGCCCUAACAUUCCUCGCCCCCAUCAAUCCAUCAAAACCCGCUAGAGUACUGAACCAAUCUUUUCGAGAGAAAAUAUCAUUCUCUUUCCAAAAACUAUCUAUGAAACACCAUCUUGCUGGUAUUGAGGGUAGGGUUGCUGCCUUUAUGUAUGGUGGUGUCUUCUGUGUGUCCAAUAUCUGUG
rnacentral:lncRNA from 1 species